rnacentral:rRNA from 1 species
CACGUAGGGGGCAAGCGUUGUCCGGAUUUAUUGGGCGUAAAGAGCUCGUAGGCGGUUCGGUAAGUCGGGUGUGAAACCUCCAGGCUCAACCUGGAGAGGCCACCUGAUACUGCUGUGACUCGAGUCCGGUAGGGGAGCGUGGAAUUCCUGGUGUAGCGGUGAAAUGCGUAGAUAUCUGGAGGAAUACCGGUGGCGAAGGCGGCAUCCUGGACCGACAUUGACGCUGAGGAGCGAAAGCCAGGGGAGCAAACGGG